rnacentral:rRNA from 1 species
CCCACUAAUUUGCUCGCCAGAAAAUUACAAGCGAAAGCACAAAAUUCAAAGGACUUGACGGUGUUCCACAUCAACCUAGAGGAGCCUGUCCAGUAAUCGAUAACCCACGUUUUACCUCACCCACUCUUGCCAAGUCAGCCUGUAUACCGCCGUCGCCAGCCCAUCUAAUGAUAGAAUCAAAAUGGACAAAAUUGCCCAAUCACAAAAACGUCAGGUCAAGGUGCAGCUAAUGAAUGGGUUGAGAUGGGCUACAUUUUUAAAAUUUAAAAACUACCACAAGAAACAUGAAACAUGAACUAUAAAGGUGGAUUUAGCAGUAAACCCGUGCAAGAUAUGCCACAUUGAAACUCGUUCUGGAACGCGUACAC